UUUUUAGCUCACCUGAGCCGAAGGCUCAAGUGAGCUUUUCUGAUCACAUUUUGUCCGUCGUCCGUCCGUCUGUCCGUGUUUACGAGAGUGCAUUUAUUGGGUAUUUUUCAUGCCAAGAUUGUACUUAUUGGGUACUUUUUGCUUAUUGGGUAUACCCAAUAAGAAGUGUCGCUGAAUAUGCUUAAAACACCCUAAUUGGGUAUUUGCAGGUUAGUACCCAACAAAACUUGGACACCACUAUUUGUCCAAAAAAGUGUCCAAAAAAGUUGCUUUCACGGACUCACCGUGUUUUGUUGUUUCAGUUUUACAUUCGGAACUCUAAAUUCUCGAGAGUUCCGAAAAUCAACUUCCGUUGAUCCUGAUCAUAACAACGUUUGUUUUCAUGGAAAAAAAAUAUGGCGACUAAGAAACACUUAAUGUCAACAAGAUUUUCUGACUGACAAGAGAAAAGGUCAAACAGGAACUUCAAUUGUGAACAAUGCAGAGAACACACCCAUCAGAAGAUGACCCUCAGAAAUAGGACAAUUAAUGAAUAAAAUGGACAGAGGCAGAACUGAAGGAGAUGAAUGAAAUGGGGAAUAUUUCAAAGAUUGCCUGAGCAUAACCACUGCUACUGGAUAAACAUAUGGCAAUAUAAAAGAGCAGGGUCAAUGGAGGUAUCAUACAGUAUAGGCCAUGAGA